AGCGAACGCUGGCGGCAGGCCUAACACAUGCAAGUCGAACGAACCUUUCGGGGUUAGUGGCGGACGGGUGAGGAACACGUGGGAACGUGCCUUUAGGCUCGGAAUAACUCAGGGAAACUUGUGCUAAUACCGAAUGUGCCCUUCGGGGGAAAGAUUUAUCGCCUUUAGAGCGGCCCGCGUCUGAUUAGCUAGUUGGUUGAGGUAAUGGCUCACCAAGGCGACGAUCAGUAGCGGGUCUGAGAGGAUGAUCAGCCACAUUGGGAGUGAGACACGGCCCAAACUCCUACGGGAGGGAGCAGUGGGGAAUCUUGCGCAAUGGGCGAAAGCCUGACGGAGCCAUGCCGCGUGAAUGAUGAAGGUCUUAGGAGUGUAAAAUUCUUUCAACGGGGACGAUAAUGACGGUACCCGGAGAAGAAGCCCCGGCUAACUUCGUG
rnacentral:rRNA from 1 species